rnacentral:lncRNA from 1 species
GAGGUUAGCCUGGGGAGAAAAGGAAAAGGAAUAUCAGGCCACUAUCCAUGAUCUACGAGACGAAUUGAGAAAUGUAACCUUCAACAAUGAUUUAUAUGCACAAGAGGCCGAGGGUGAAAGAAGAAGAUUGGUUUGAGAAAAUGAAGCUCUCAGGGCCCAGAUUCGAUAGUUGAAAAUUGUAGUCGAGUACCAAGGCCGAAGUAGGAAAGAUGAAAUGCUCAUUUACAACCUUACUCAAAAGGUGCGUGACUAUGAAGAUGACCUACAGAAAGCCGUGUCUAAACUAGCAAAAGCACAGACAAAGGUUGGCUAAAAGCACCGAAGGGCGU